rnacentral:tRNA from 1 species
GUAUCAGUGGUUCAGUGGUAGAAUUCUCGCCUUCCAAGCUGGAGACCCGGGUUCGAUUCCCAGCCAGUGCA